rnacentral:lncRNA from 1 species
UUUUUUAAUUCUUGUUGCAAACAGUGGUUUUUCCAUUGGUAUCUCAGAUGAUCCCCUCCUCGGCCUCAGUGUCUUGUUGAAUAGAAAUAGCCAACCUAUCCUCUAGCUCCUGAACUCUUGCUUUGGGUAUUGUAAGAGACCAAGUUUUGGCUUGAGAACCACAAUGGUCCACAUUGGUUUUGAAAGGAUUGGCACUAGCAACUCAACUAGUUCCAGGAACAAGUUAGUGUUUUUUCUAAGGCUCCAACCCAGGACCUUACAAAUGGGGUGGAGGGAGUGCUCUACCUGAGUUAUACCCCAGCUCCAAGUGUGUGCAUUGAACUCAACCAAGGUGGUUGCAGUUACAAACAAGAUUAGAAUCAUUUCUUGAAGUUUUAAGAUUUCUAAGAUACUUAGCUGGGCCUGGAGAUGUGUAUCUUUAUAAUCCUGGCUACAUGCAAAACAAGAAUGACAAGUUCAAGGCCAUCCUGAGACCCUGGCUCAGAGUUUAAAGGAAAAGGCUCGGAAUGAAGUUCAGUGGUAAAGCGCUUGCCUAGCAGGCUUGAGUCCAGAUAAGAUAGUGUGUUCUCUUUGUCAGGUGCUUCAAAUGGUGAAGGCAGUCAAAGUCAUUCUAGAUGUUUUUACUUUGUUUUUUAAGGUACUCUGGGUUGGACCUAGGGGUGUUGAACCAUAUAGAGUCACAUCAUCAACCCUUUUUAUAUUUUGAUAAAGGGUCUCAAUAGGUUGCUUAGGGUCUUGCUAGAGCUGACUUCAAACUCCAUGUCCUGCCUCCCAAGUCACUGGGAUUACAGUUAUGCUCCACCACCCCAUCCAUCCAAAUAAUAAACAGGGUUAUUGGUGUAGAUGGAACAUAUUUACCUGGGUUUCAUACUCCAAACCUCAGAGAAAAAAAAAUGGGGGUCAGGAGUUGAAUUUGGUGUGCAUAAUGGGUUAUCUUCCACGAAAGUGGUCAGCUGAGUGGUGGUGUUUUUGUUGGUUACUGGUGCCCUACCAAAAUUUCCUCAGCCCUUUUUGUUUUUUUGAGACAGGGUCUCAGUAAGCUUCUGAGGGCCUCACUAAAUCACUGAGGCUGGCCUUGAAUUUGUGAUCCUUCUGUCUCAGCCUGGUGCAUCUCUGGGAUUUUAGGUCUGCACCACUGUGUCUGGCUGAAUUCAUU